CUGGGGAACACCCACCUCCCCUCACCUCAGUCCCUGUGCUCUGGGGGGGUGCAGACCCUACCCUCAGCUCCUUCAGGGGGCGGGCAUUCGAUCCAGGAUGGCCAAUCAGAGCAUCGCAUUCUCUUAAGCCACAGGGAUUGGUUCCCAAGGGGCAUGUUGCCCAGAUAAGACCAAUCAGAAACAGAGACUCAAUUCGGGGACUUUUCUUUAACCGUUGAAAACGUGACCUUUUUAUUCCCUUCUGCCAGAACUGCUGAGAGCCGUCUUGCCACCACAAUCGAGAAAGAAACAGUAGGUGAUGCUGAGGGUUGCAGAAAAACUGUGUAAGCCUUAGCAACACCCUUGAAACCUCCAUGCGUUAAUUUCCAUCCCUAGACUUUUCAAGGACAUAAAUCCCCUUUCUGGGGAAGCCGGUUCAAGUCAGGGUCCUGCUUUGAGGUCAAAAGAGUCCUGACUGAUGAAAUCCGAAGGGCUGUGACAUAGGCUGCACGCUGGCUAUGCACAGAGGAAGCGAGAUGAUCCAUGCCACCUUUCCUGGCACUCAGUGCGAUGUGGAGACAGCUACAAACAGCUACAAUUAUUUAAAGCCGCAAAGUGGUCAAGAGCACACGCUUGGAAGCAGAUGGCCACGGUCACAUCCAGCUGUUACUUACCAACUUGGUAACCUUGAACGUGUUGCUCAAACUCCAGGCCUCAGUGUCGUCUCCUGUAAAACAGAGUGACAGCAAGAGUUAAGCACGCGACAAGAGACCUGAGCACAAGGUUUCUUCACGGCUGAGGAAAGAAAACAAACUUAUAUAGAACACCAACCCCAUCACCCUCAGCAUCUCUUAUAGCAGCAAAAACUUAUGAAUCAAAGGGAGUUUUCAUAAAACCAAAGUCAAACAAUAUCCCAUGGAACACAGUCGCCAGCGUUUAGCGUGCGGGUCAGAGCACGGUCUGCCGCGUCUAGACAUUCUCAUUAUUGCACGGAAGAGAUACAAACUGCCUUUCUCUGGCCUUUAUUUUGAUUAAAUCUUUAGCUGCCUUA